CGCGUGGGAAUCUACCUGGUAGUGGAGGAUAACUCGAGGAAACUCGAGCUAAUACUGCGUACGCCCUACGGGGGAAAGCGGGGGAUCUUCGGACCUCGCGCUAUCAGAUGAGCCCGCGUCAGAUUAGCUUGUUGGUGAGGUAAUGGCUCACCAAGGCGACGAUCUGUAGCUGGUCUGAGAGGAUGAUCAGCCACAUUGGGACUGAGACACGGCCCAAACUCCUACGGGAGGCAGCAGUGGGGAAUAUUGCGCAAUGGGGGAAACCCUGACGCAGCCAUGCCGCGUGUGUGAAGAAGGCUU
rnacentral:rRNA from 1 species